ensembl:lncRNA
AGCAGGUACACCUGCACUGAAAAAAAGGGACUGGCCAUCUCUUGGAUUUAUGUGAAGUAAGUCAAUAAGAUAGCAACGUUAAAUCUCGUGAAACCACGCGUGAUUUCAUCUCGCGGGCUUUGGAUCGUGGUUCAAAAAAGGCAUCCAUCUCAGUCAAGUCGAGCAGCCAACUCUACGUUUUUGGAUGACAUUAAUGCUCAAAGGGAGUCUCAUCAAAGUGCUCCGCAUCUGUGUGAAAGACAAUUGCAACAUCUUGGUGCAGGAGUUCAUGGACUUGACUGAGGCCACUGCACAGAUUGAGAAAACCACAAUGAACAUCUGUCUCCAGAGAUGCGCCAGGCAAUGACUUUUCUGAUGUUGGCAUCAUCAUCGAGGGUAUAGUAGUUCUUCAAGAUCUGGAUAACGUGACCUUUGCAGUAGCCAUGCUGUUUGGACCUUUUUUAUUCCUUCAAUAUGAGUUACCCAUCACAGCUCUGCUACACUUUUGAGGUGAUUCAAUGGGUGGUAAUGGAGUUGGAAGCAACUCAGCUCUCAAGAAAAGCUCACAACUGAGACAAAACUGCUCCUGCAAGGAAAGCUCACUGUUAUGCAUGCAAGGUGAUCAGCUCUAGGUGAGAGGACAUUUAAAUCUCACACUUGUUCUGCUGCAUUUUUGAAGCUCAAUUCCAGGAGCAGAUCGCAGGGUUCAUUUUUAUAUACUCUGCAACUGCCAUGAGGACAAGCCGUUUUUGUUGUUGUUGUUUGUUUUUCCUUUUGCUCUGUACAAGUUCUCUGUUUGUCUGUUUGGCAGCAUUUUUAAAUUUCUGUUUGUAUUUUUUCUUUCUUUUACUAGUGAAGAGAUGUAGCGUGAACAGUUAUACAGUCUAAAUAUCCCAUAUGGGUCGUGUGAAAUGGUAUUUUCAGUUUCAUUCAGUUGAAGUAAAGAACGUUGAAUAUUUCUAAGUAUGCUGUUUUGAACCAAGAUGUCACAGUAUGAUCAGUGCUGUAAUUUUUGACAGUCACUGUAUCAAUGUUAUUUUUGCGUCUCUUGAAUAAAGUUUUUGACCUGCAAGUGCUAAUUUCUUUAGUUAUUGGGGUAAAAUGGGUAAUGUUAAUAGGAAGGUGUUUGCCAAUUCAGUAACCUAAUUUAAUGUUAAUGGAAACUAACAUUUCCUCAAAUUGUUUAGUUAUAAUUGUUGUUUAACUGAAUCUUGACGUCAGAGGCCUUAAAUAGAAUGUUUUGUAUUGUCCUGUAACAUUUUUCAAAAGAAACAGUCCAAUUUCUUUGCUGUGAUUGAUUCCAGAGAACACGGAAGAACUGACAUUAUUUAACUGUUGAUUUAUAUAGAUUCAGUGGAGGAGUAAUGUCAGUUUAA